UACAUGUAUGUACAUAACAUUCUGCUAACAUAGACAAACGCUCGCCUUAGCGUGGUCAACAUUUUGACGCUCAGUGUAAUCUUAAGCAAAUCUCUAUCACCAAGUCAACUUUUUGUUCCAGCCGCUAGACAGUUAAUUUUUUUGUUUUUUAUUUUUCUUCGUUAAGCCUCAUAAAAGCUUUUGUUGCUUUUAUCGGUUAAGAGUUAACGAGCUCCACGGUUCACUAUCAAUGACUGAUUACAGAGCGCGCCUAACAGUCGUCACAUUACAUUGUAUGCGGUUAAGCGACGAGCCUUGCUCUUAAGCCGCUUGUAAGCUUACAGCAAAGAGAGAGAGCAUAAAAUCCACACGCACGUGCAGUGGCUAAAGGCGCCGCAGCGCUGUCUGUGGGGAGACAGAGAGAAUGCGCUGUUAAAAUUGUCAUUCAUGCUCGGGCGCGCGCUCUCCCAGACGCCGACUGCGUCGCUUAGCAGCAGCAGCAGCCACCGCAGUCGAAACGGCGUUUAACGGUGAUCAGUACGAGAUCGAAAUCGGCCGCCGUUGGUUGUACGUAAUGCGCGUCGCGUUGCUCGUUGUCGUUGUCGUCGUCGUCGUCGUCGUUGCCGUUGCCGUUCAGCUUUCAAUUCAGUUAGUCGAUCGCCGUCGCAGUAGCAACAACAACAUGCACUAAACAAAAAGAAAUAAAAAAAAAAAAGAAGAAUUUUUUUUACAUCUUUUCGUUACGUUUCGUUUCGUUUUCGUUUUCUCAUGUUCUGUGUUCCAGUGCCGUGUGGGGCUAAGUGAGUGUUUUCUGCUCAAAAUGUUUCAAAAUCAAACAAAUGCACCAAUAUAAAUAAAGAGAGAAAAAAAAUUGAGAAAAAAGUCCUCUCGCAACGUGCUUGUUGUGUGUGCGCGCGCGUGUGUGUGUGUGUGUGCGUGAAGCGCAGCUGAUUUUUAAAUACGAAAUUUUUAAUAACGCUCUACCUGCUGCCCGUGCUCCCGCAACCCCACAGCUCGACCUGCUGCAGUUCUACAACGAACGAGAUUUAGCGUCAAUUUGCCGUUUCGCUGCUUUUGGCUUCACGAAAUGUAAACUGACAUUUUGCUCUGGCGCUUUGUUUCGCGCGGGCUUAUUGACAAAUUGUAACUGAACACGCAAAUUAUGAAAUGUGCGUAAAAUUCCCCCCCAAAAUAAUUCGAUAAAAGAUAAAUAAUUCCCGCAAAAAAAAAAAA